AACCAGUAAUGUUAGAUUUUGAUUCCCCUACGGUUAUUUUUAGGGAACCAUCCCAUAACGUUAUGUUCGGACAUGUUUCACACACGGAGUGCAAAACGAGCUGCUGAGACUUUUGAAUCUUCUCAAGUCUUCUCACCACAAAGUUUUUUGGUUGUUGAGGACAUAGCCAAAGGGGACUGUUUUAUGGAGGAUGACUACAGUCAGUCCACCUGGAGCAAGUGUUUCUGACAAACUUUUACUUGCAUCUACUUUUAUUUUUUAGAAAGUUUUCAGAAAAAUAUUUGAAAGAUUGAUAUCAUUUAUUUUGUCCUUACACUGUGACACUUUUAUAGUUUGUUUUCCAUUUACAUUUUUUACUUUUGUGUAGCGAGUGAGACUUUAGAAAACACGCUGUUUGAAAGACAUUUUGUCCACUGAACUGUAAGUAAAAAAUGCAUUUCCAUUAA